rfam:Picea glauca, whole genome shotgun sequence.
AUAAUGGUGUCUUUAGACACCACAUCUUAUCUUAGAAAAAAAAUUCU